GGGGAAUUAGCUCAGUUGGUUAGAGCAUCUGCUUUACACGCAGGGGGUCAGGGGUUCGAGUCCUCUAUUCCCCA
rnacentral:tRNA from 1 species